GGAAAAUGGAGCAAGAUGUCAUCGUGUCAGACCCUGAGUCCAUUUGCACCUGUGAUAGCUUGUCGCAAAUGUCAAGCGGAUUGGAUUAGUGAGCACCUGUGGCAUGAAUGAGGUGGGAGACCUACUCUAAAUCCAGGUCAUUGAGGUCAGAAGAUCCAUCCGAAAUCCGGGCCACACUUCUGGAGGCAGCCCACAUAAAAGGAAGAGGGAAGACUUCGCUUUUCAGUCUGCUCUCCUCACUCAGACAAGUUCAUCUAUCCUACGACUGAGCCAUUCCUGCGCUUGUGUUAGAACCUCCUUCCUCGAGAUUCCAACAUGGACUGAAAACUGGCAACUCUCUAGGACCUUCCUGGAACUCUAGGACCAGAUUGGGGCCACUGAGACAAACAGCCUCAGAAUGACGAACCACCAGCUCCUUGCCCUUCCCGUCCGGAGACAGCCAUUGCUGGACUGCACAGACCACAAACCCUAGUAUAGAGCUACUAACAAAUCCCAUAGAGCCACGACUAAUACAUGAUCUGAGAAACAGAAAAGGCCAACAAGAUGGCUCCAUGAGUGAAGGUGCGCCUGAGGUCCAUCCCAAGAGCCCGUAGAGUGGACGGCGAGAACUGAUUCCCACGAGCCGUCUCCUGACUGCCAGUGCACAUGAGCACAGUAAUUGAGUGACUGAUUUAAAAUAUAAAACAAGAACAACCGAAAGCCAAUCUGUUGAACAAAUCCAGUGAAUCUGUAAACGGUGAAGGACAUAAUGACCGGACAGCUGCCCUGAGUUUCUUUGUGCUUACAAUAUGCCAGGGCCCCACAAAAGGCACUUUUUUAUCUUCCUU